rnacentral:rRNA from 1 species
GACGAACGCUGGCGGCGUGCUUAACACAUGCAAGUCGAACGGAAAGGCCCUGCUUUUGUGGGGUGCUCGAGUGGCGAACGGGUGAGUAACACGUGAGUAACCUGCCCUUGACUUUGGGAUAACUUCAGGAAACUGGGGCUAAUACCGGAUAGGAGCUCCUGCUGCAUGGUGGGGGUUGGAAAGUUUCGGCGGUUGGGGAUGGACUCGCGGCUUAUCAGCUUGUUGGUGGGGUAGUGGCUUACCAAGGCUUUGACGGGUAGCCGGCCUGAGAGGGUGACCGGCCACACUGGGACUGAGAUACGGCCCAGACUCCUACGGGAGGCAGCAGUGGAGAAUAUUGCACAAUGGGCGGAAGCCUGAUGCAGCAACGCCGCGUGCGGGAUGACGGCCUUCGGGUUGUAAACCGCUUUCGCCUGUGACGAAGCGUGAGUGACGGUAAUGGGUAAAGAAGCACCGGCUAACUACGUG